GACGAACGCUGGCGGCGCGCCUAACACAUGCAAGUCGAGCGGGAAACUUUUUAAGGAUUCUUCGGAUGAAUUAAAAAGUGGAGAGCGGCGGACGGGUGAGUAAUGCUUGGGAAUUUGCCUUUGGGAGGGGGAUAACCACUGGAAACGGUGGCUAAUACCGCAUAACGUCUACGGACCAAAGGGGGCUUAGGCUCCCACCUAUAGAGAAGCCCAAGUGAGAUUAGCUAGUUGGUGAGGUAAAGGCUCACCAAGGCGACGAUCUCUAGCUGUUCUGGGAGGAAGAUCAGCCACACUGGAACUGAGACACGGUCCAGACUCCUACGGGAGGCAGCAGUGGGGAAUAUUGCACAAUGGGGGAACCCUGAUGCAGCCAUGCCGCGUGUGUGAAGAAGGCCUUCGGGUUGUAAGCACUUUCAGUAGAGAGGAAAGUAGAUAUU
rnacentral:rRNA from 1 species